CUCUGCACAUGCGUACUAACCAUUUAACUGGAAUCAGUUGUGUUGCAGCAGGCAGACAUCUAAGAUCUGCAGGAUCUGCAGGAUGAGGACCAGGGUUGGG